rnacentral:rRNA from 1 species
UACGGAGGGGACUAGCGUUGUUCGGAAUUACUGGGCGUAAAGCGCACGUAGGCGGAUUUGUAAGUCAGGGGUGAAAUCCCGGGGCUCAACCUCGGAACUGCCUUUGAUACUGCAAAUCUCGAGUCCGGAAGAGGUGAGUGGAAUUCCUAGUGUAGAGGUGAAAUUCGUAGAUAUUCGGAAGAACACCAGUGGCGAAGGCGGCUCACUGGACCGGCAUUGACGCUGAGGUGCGAAAGCGUGGGGAGCAAACAGGG